rnacentral:rRNA from 1 species
AGAUUGAACGCUGGCGGCAGGCCUAACACAUGCAAGUCGAGCGGUAGAGAGGUGCUUGCACCUCUUGAGAGCGGCGGACGGGUGAGUAAUGCCUAGGAAUCUGCCUAGUGGUGGGGGAUAACGUUCGGAAACGGACGCUAAUACCACAUACGUCCUACGGGAGAAAGCGGGGGACCUUCGGGCCUCGCGCCAUUAGAUGAGCCUAGGUCGGAUUAGCUAGUUGGUGAGGUAAUGGCUCACCAAGGCGACGAUCCGUAACUGGUCUGAGAGGAUGAUCAGUCACACUGGAACUGAGACACGGUCCAGACUCCUACGGGAGGCAGCAGUGGGAAUAUUGGACAAUGGGCGAAAGCCUGAUCCAGCCAUGCCGCGUGUGUGAAGAAGGUCUUCGGAUUGUAAAGCACUUUAAGUUGGAGAAGGUUGUAACUUAAUACGUUGCAACUUUGACGUUACCGACAGAAUAAGCACCGGCUAACUUCGUGCCAGCAGCCGA